rnacentral:rRNA from 1 species
AAGUGGUAGCAAUACCAUGAGUAAAGUGGCGCACGGGUGAGUAACACGUGACUAACCUACCCUUGAGUGGGGGAUAACUGAGGGAAACCUUAGCUAAUACCGCAUAAUACCCACGGGUCAAAGGAGCAAUUCGCUCGAGGAGGGGGUCGCGGCCGAUUAGUUAGUUGGCGGGGUAAUGGCCCACCAAGACGAUGAUCGGUAUCCGGCCUGAGAGGGCGCACGGACACACUGGAACUGAAACACGGUCCAGACUCCUACGGGAGGCAGCAGUGGGGAAUUUUGCGCAAUGGGGGAAACCCUGACGCAGCAACGCCGCGUGGAGGAUGAAGUCCUUCGGG